rnacentral:rRNA from 1 species
UGGGGAAUAUUGGACAAUGGGCGAAAGCCUGAUCCAGCCAUGCCGCGUGUGUGAAGAAGGUCUUCGGAUUGUAAAGCACUUUAAGUUGGGAGGAAGGGCUGCAAGUUAAUACCUUGUAGUUUUGACGUUACCAACAGAAUAAGCACCGGCUAACUUCGUGCCAGCAGCCGCGGUAAUACGAAGGGUGCAAGCGUUAAUCGGAAUUCCUGGGUUUAAAGGGUGCGUAGGCGGGCAUGUAAGUCAGUGGUGAAAUACCGGAGCUUAACUUCGGAACUGCCAUUGAUACUAUAUGUCUUGAAUAUUGUGGAGGUAAGCGGAAUAUGUCAUGUAGCGGUGAAAUGCAUAGAUAUGACAUAGAACACCGAUUGCGGAGGCAGCUUGCUACGCAAAUAUUGACGCUGAGGCACGAAAGCGUGGGGAUCAAACA